GUCUACGGCCAUGCCACCCUGAACGGGCCGAUCGCGUCUGAUCUCGGAAGCUAAGCAGGGUCGGGCCUGGUUAGUACUUGGAUGGGAGACCAUCUAGGAAGACCAAGUGCUGUAGGCG
rnacentral:rRNA from 1 species